rnacentral:rRNA from 1 species
UGCUUGGGAAUAUGCCUUUAGGUGGGGACGAACAGUUGGAACGACUGCUAAUACCGCAUAAUGUCUACGGACCAAAGUAGGGGGACCGUUCGGGCCGUCACGCCUUUAGAUUAGCCCAAGUGAGAUUAGCUAGAUGGUGAGGUAAAGGCUCACCAUGGCGACGAUCUCUAGCUGGUUUGAGAGGAUGAUCAGCCACACUGGGACUGAGACACGGCCCAGACUCCUACGGGAGGCAGCAGUGGGGAAUAUUGCACAAUGGGCGCAAGCCUGAUGCAGCCAUGCCGCGUGUGUGAAGAAGGC